rnacentral:rRNA from 1 species
ACACGGGGGGCGCAAGCGUUAUUCGGAAUUAUUGGGCGUAAAGGUCGUGUAGGCGGUUUUAUCGGCCAGAUGUGAAAGCCCAGGGCUCAACCCUGGACGUGCAUUUGAAACAGUAAGACUUGAGUACGGUAGAGGAAAGCGGAAUUCCUGGUGUAGAGGUGAAAUUCGUAGAUAUCAGGAGGAACACCGAUGGCGAAGGCAGCUUUCUGGACCGAAACUGACGCUGAUGCGCGAAGGCGUGGGUAGCGAACAGGAUUAGAUACCCCAGUAGUCC